UCCACCACCACCUCCAGCCGGAAUACCUUGCCCACAUCUGGGACCACUUUACUCAGUACUUGGUCCCCAUUCGCCUGUCAGGGAAGAAAAAAGGAGCUGCAGGAUAAAGGUUAGAGAGAAAUAUCCCUCGCUUAGGGCACAUAGAUGGGCAAGGCAGGCAAGGCAGGAAGGGGAACAGCACGAAGAAGCCUAACAUUACUUCUGAUUAAGACCGUUGGUAAUCUUUCCUGCCCCAAGCUGCUGAAGCCUGGAGAGCCCUCCUGGCUGCUGAGGAUACCCAGGGCCUUCUGCAUGGCCUCCUCUCCCUGCCGGAUAUAGGCUAGCUCCUGGUCGCUGUAGAGGGUGUCUUCCAGCCGAGAACCUGGACACACAGCCAAGGAGAGACCGGGCUUGCUUCUGUUUCCCUGGCCUCCGCCACGGCUGCCAUCCCUUCAGUCUGGAUCUGCUCAUUCCUCUGCAGAGCCAAGACCAAAGCCAUAGGGUCCGGCUUGCAGGCCACCUCCUGGGCCCAGAGUUGACCUUGCAUCUGGGCUGGCCAGGCCCGGUCCUGCCUGGAGGCGGGGGCUGGACGGGAGCCCGCUGAAGUUUCCUUCUCGAACGAGAGAGAAGCUUCGUUCAACUAGAAAACAAUCUGCUGCAGAAGGAGGAUUAAAGAUGCCCAUCCCCUGUAGUCUGUGUUGCUGUCAGCAGCUGCGGUCCUUUGCCUGAGUAACUGCUCAGCGUGCCCCUGGGCGCAGAGCAAGGUGAGUCUUGUUGAUCUAGUGAGAACAGCCCCGCUGCUGGUCGGGGUCUUCCAAGCAUGGCUUCCAUCUAAACGGAAGCCGGUUCCUCCCAGUGUAAGUGGGGAGCACUUUCGAUUGGUUUGUGUACCCUUCAAUGACCGCAGGGGAUUGACUCAGAUGACCUUGGGUCCUGAUUAGCUCUACAAAAUCAGACUUGGGUAACUGGUUCUGCUUCCUCAUUGUACAAUGAUAACCAGACUUCCAGCUGCACCCGCUUUCUCUCUUCACUUUGCUCUUCUCUGCCCCCGUCCCCCAUGUCUCAGGCUUUGCCAGCACUGCCCGCUGGACUCAAGGCUCACUGCCCCCCCCCCCCUGCGCUGCGGCUCAGUCUUUGCUGGUACCCUUGGUGCCGAUUCAGGCAAAGUCAGGAAGAGCUCAAGAAAGACUGGAGCCCUGGAGAGCAGGGCAGAGGUGACCAAACCCGGGGGAGGGGGGCGAGGGACACAGGCGUCUUAGUAUCCAGCCCAACUGUUCACAUGGGCAAAGGGAUGUCCAGAAGGGAAGAGACGUGUGCCGGUUCCCCCAAUGAGGCGCAAAGUGGGAUCAGCCGGGGAGCUACCUGAGUGCUCCGGGUCACCAUGCGGGCCACCCCCCUGGCCUGGGGAACUGACCUUUCA